rnacentral:rRNA from 1 species
UACAGAGGUCCCAAGCGUUGUUCGGAUUCAUUGGGCGUAAAGGGUGCGUAGGUGGCGCCGUAAGUGGGGUGUGAAAUUUCGGAGCUUAACUCCGAAACUGCAUUCCAUACUGCGGUGCUUGAGGACUGGAGAGGAGACUGGAAUUUACGGUGUAGCAGUGAAAUGCGUAGAGAUCGUAAGGAAGACCAGUGGCGAAGGCGGGUCUCUGGACAGUUCCUGACACUGAGGCACGAAGGUCAGGGGAGCAAACGGG